AUUGAACGCUGGCGGCAGGCCUAACACAUGCAAGUCGAACGGUAACAGGGAUCAGCUUGCUGAUUCGCUGACGAGUGGCGGACGGGUGAGUAAUGUCUGGGAAACUGCCUGAUGGAGGGGGAUAACUACUGGAAACGGUAGCUAAUACCGCAUAACGUCGCAAGACCAAAGAGGGGGACCUUCGUGCCUCUUGCCAUCGGAUGUGCCCAGAUGGGAUUAGCUAGUAGGUGGGGUAACGGCUCACCUAGGCGACGAUCCCUAGCUGGUCUGAGAGGAUGACCAGCCACACUGGAACUGAGACACGGUCCAGACUCCUACGGGAGGCAGCAGUGGGGAAUAUUGCACAAUGGGCGCAAGCCUGAUGCAGCCAUGCCGCGUGUAUGAAGAAGGCCUUCGGGUUGUAAAGUACUUUCAGCGGGGAGGAAGGGAGUAAAGUUAAUACCUUUGCUCAUUGACGUUACCCGCAGAAGAAGCACCGGCUAACUCCGUG
rnacentral:rRNA from 1 species